rnacentral:rRNA from 1 species
UACGAAGGGGGGCUAGCGUUGUUCGGAAUUACUGGGCGUAAAGCGCGCGCAGGCGGCUAUCCAAGUCAGUGGUGAAAGCCCGGAGCUCAACUCCGGAACUGCCAUUGAAACUGUUUAGCUUGAGGACGAGAGGGGUGAGUGGAAUUCCCAGUGUAGAGGUGAAAUUCGUAGAUAUUGGGAAGAACACCGGUGGCGAAGGCGGCUCACUGGCUCGUAUCUGACGCUCAGGCGCGACAGCGUGGGGAUCAAACAGG